rnacentral:tRNA from 1 species
CCGAUCUUAGCUCAGUUGGUAGAGCGGAGGACUGUAGUGUUGCAGACAAAUCCUUAGGUCGCUGGUUCGAAUCCGGCAGGUCGGA